UGAAAGAAGGCCGUUGCAAGAACUACAUCGGAGUCGUCCUUGAAUCUCAUGGGGAAUACAGAUGUGAUCUUAUCUGGCUGUUCAAAUAAAGGUAUCAAAGUGAGGCUUACCAUCUUGCAUUAAUAAGGGCAGGAUUUUGCUAUUCAAGAAGCAUAAUUAUUUGGGUUCCCCAUUGGAAGGGUUUAGUUCUUAGCUUCUCAGGGAUGAUGCCUUCCGUUAAAUUUGUUGGGGAUCAAGCAUGGAUUUUUCCUGGCCUCUUCUUGGCUAUUUUCAGAUUAAAAACCCUUCAUUUGAGCGAUAAUGUAUUACAUGAUCUGAUUAUUCAUUUUCUGAACAUUCGCAUAGCUCAGCCAAAUUAACUUGCAUAAUGGGUUCAGCACGGAUGUCGAACUCACAUGAAACUCGUGGAGCAUUUGUGAGUUGUUGGUUCUUUAGAUGGGGUCAGUUGCAGUAUUCUAGUCUCUUCUAUGUAUGUGAUGUUUGUUGUGAUAUUUGAUUCUACUCUUGGCUUUCAUGGAACAAUAUUUUUAAUUCAUUGCUUUUGGUGGUCAA